UUUUAUUCCCUAAUCUUGAACAUUACAAUUGUGGUAGAAAAUUCCGUUUAUGCGCAUGCCUAAAACGCGAAUGAACACGGAGAUAUGUUUCUGCGCGUGCGUAUAUAUAAAAAGUGUUCGUACCACAAUCAUAAGACAAUCAAACAGCAUUCAAAACAGGCAACACACCACGCGCGAUUCCCUCAGCAACUAUGAUAUUACAAAGUAAUAGCAUGACAUUACGGUCGAUUGGUGAUGAAAUGUCCCUCAAGCCUCGAGAGGUUUAGUUAAACCUUAAACCUCUCUCGGCUUUCGGGUACAUUUAAUCACUAAUCGCCCUGAAUGCCAUGCUAUUACUUAUAAACACAGACGUGCAUGCAGCGUGCGAUUACGAUAAUCCAAUCAAUAUAUUUGAGUAUAACAAUUUUUAAGGUUUACAACUGAUUUUAAGGGGAUUUCUUGAAACUCAUGAAGAAAUUAAAAAAUAGGUAAAUUGAUCUAGCCCGUUAAAGGACGACUUGCGCUUUAGACUAAAUUUCAAUUAAUCUAAGUAAGAACAACGAAAUAUAUCACCACAGCUAGAAAAAGUGCCUUGGAAUUAGUAAUAUUACAAAGUUUGGUUGCGAAAUGUUGUAAAAUACGGAAAAUAUAGCCCUUCAAAGUUGGCAAAUUUGUAUACUUUUGUCAUAUUACGUGCUUGAAUUGAUAACUAAAUUAGUUACCAAUUUCCGCACGUAAUAGAAAUGUAUACAAAUUUGCCAACUUCGCAGGGCUAUAUUUUCCGUAUUUUACAACAUUUCGCAACCAAACUUUGCAGUUUUUCUAAUUUUGAUAACUUCUUUCCGAAAAUAUCCUUUGUUAUUCCCAGAUUAAAAAUUUUUCUAAAGAGCAAGUCGUCCAUUCAGUCAAGUAGUUCAGGACCAACAUGAAUUAAAAUUAUUUAACAUCAAGUUUAUGGUAUGUUUAUUAUUCUGUCACUGUUUUCAAUUUUAUAAGAAUGGCUUCAAGAUCAGAAUACAAACUAAAAAAUUCAAUAACUCAUAUUACG